CGUGCCUGAGGGAAGAGGGAGGGGGGAGGGGGGGGGGGUGAGCAAGUCAUGGUUUGAACAACAAAGGGAGAAGCCAUUUUUGUCCUCAGCUGAGUGGCUCAUAAUGAGUGGACGUGCAUAUCUAGGGCAGCAGUGAGGCUGUUACAGAGACAGAUCUUUACACCCUAGUGCCCUUAACAGAGAACACAACACGUGAUAUGGAGGCUGAUGAUGAAGCUUAAUGUGGACAUUACACAUUUAAGACCACGAGGAGUCGACCCAGAGAGCAGAAAUAGAACUGCUGACGCUGUCCUUGGAUCCCUUUCAUUAUAAAGAACACUUUACACUGUAAUUUGUAAUGUAAUCUAAAAGCCGGCCUGCGUUUUGAGCUACAGAAAUCUAAUGGACAUGAUUCCAAAGACAGUGACUUAAUGUGAUACUGAAUGUUCCCACAGUUGGGUGGAAUUUUAAGUGGUUUACUGUGUUCCUGUGGAAAGAGUGUGAUCGCGCCGACAGCUCUCGUUUGGUGCAAAUCAGAGUGAAGAUGAUAACUGGUUGGUUCAAUUACACUGGCCACAGUCACAGGCCCUGAGGUUUCAGUUAGAUGACCCAACAUGCAGCGGGAGAUUAUGGCUAAGGUGUUAAGGAGCCUGACGCUGUGUUCCAACUGGGCAUAAAGCCUCCACUCCACCAGAGCCAUAGGCUCAGAACAGAGGAGGAUGGGGGAAGGAGGCCUUAAAGACACAGGAGUCGCAUAGAAUUUUAGUCUCAAGGCUCUUUUUGCAUAAAGAGGUAUUGUAGUAUUUAUUGGCACUAUUACUCGAAAGUCAUCUGAUUUCAAGCAGAGCCCCAGAAUAAAACAUUAACUGCAAGCACAACAAAGCCAUUUUACUCCAAACAGGUCAACAGAAACCUACCUUAUAAUCGUUUAUUUCUUCAUUUAGGAUGUCGUCUCCAUUGCUGAUUUUCUCUGCAGGUUUCUUGGCCUUCUCAAUCUUUAUCCUCAGUUUAGAAAUGUCCUCCUGAAACACAUUUAAAGUCAAAAGGCUCAGUUUGAUAUAUUUUUUUAUAAGAUUUUUUUUUUUUACACACGUUUUUUGGGUGCACUUAUUAAUUUGUUUAACUUUACCUGUGCUCGUCUGGCAUUAAAGGACUCUUUCUCCCUGGAGAUGCUGUUCUCCACCACCUCUUCUCUGACCAGACUGAGUCUCUGCUGAACCUGCUCCAGCUGAGUUCGUACCUCCUCCGACAACAGCGCCGACUCCUGAGCCUGAGGAUCAAAAAGAGGUCUUCAUUUGUGCCUAAUGGGUCAUUACAGUUACUGCUUAAGCAACAGCUAAAUGCUUCUUUGACUCCGUGCCUCGUUUUUACAGAGUGAUGGUACCUUGCGUUUGUUCAUGUCCAAAGCUUGUGUUCGAAGAGCCAGCUCCCUCUCUGCAGUGCUGAUGGUCCCCUGAAGGAGGCGCUCCUUCUCCUCGAGCUUCCUCACCACCUGCAGCUGGGCAUCGACCUAACCAAAGGUUUUAAGAUCACAGAGCUAAUUAGAGAUCAUAGAACAUAAAAUGUCUAUGGUAAAACUGAAAACGUAUUGGCCAGAACAGUGCAGAGAAAUGAGUGGGUGUAAGAGCACCAGGUAGACUUAUUGUUUUUUCAGCGUGUCCUGGCAUAUUUAAGGUUUAUUUUUCUUUUCAGGUUCAGCUUUGUGGAGUUGCCUCAUGGCUCACCUGAGUUUUUAACGUGAGCAGUUGGUCGGCCAGCUCCUCCUUCUCUUCUUUUAACAACUUGUGGAUCUGGUUGGACUUGAUCCGCUCGCUCAUCAACUUGAAGUUGGCAUCAUCUUUUUCUCUGAGCUGCUGCAUAAGGCGAAUGUUUUGUUCCUGCAUGUCCUCGAAGGCCUGACCAGUCACGUCCAUCUCGCUCAGCAGCGCGUCCUCCUCCUGUAGAGGAAGCACAGAGGAGUCAGCGUGUCAAAUGAAAAGUGAACGUGGUUUGUGCAAGUACACAAAGUAACUGCUGGACAAACCUGUUUGGCUAUAGACAGUUUCUUGUUGAGGAUGUCGAUCUGCUCCUCCACAGACCGGAUCUUCCUCAGUGCUUCUUCAUCUGCCAUUUUCUUGCCCUCCCUUCUCUCCCUCUCUUCCAGCUCCCUCAACCUUUGUCGCAGCUCUUCUCCCUGAGAGAAGGAAAUUAGACUUACAUAUUUCUGCCUUUCUCAGAUAGAAGAAAAUGAAGGCAAAAACAAACAUUGUGCAUAUCAAGUCAGACAAUAAUUUAAAAUGUGAACAGAUGCUAUGAUGUGCAGAUCACCUCAGACUUUGCCUUCUUCUCUGCAGCCAUGAGCUGAACUUUGUCUCUUUGCUCUUUGGGUGCAGACCGGUACAUGUCCAACAGCAACUUCAUUUCUCUCUGAGACUCCUGUGCUUUCCUGCAGAGUCGCAGUGAGGAACUUUAAUAAAACUAUCAACUAUCAUCCAAAUAAAGAACAGAAGAAUUAAAAGGACUGAAGAAAAAUAUUGAAUAAGAAAACAAUAGUAGCAUUUUAAUCUGCUAUUUCUAAAAACACAUCACUGCUGACCACUAGUGAAUUAGCCACAGAAGCUGCUGAUUCUACAAAAACAAUAAAAAGAAAUUGGUUGAUAAAACGAGACUGAGCUUUUUAAGUCUUACUUGAGUUCUGCUCGGACGAUCUUAAGCUGCUCCAUCUCCUUCCUCUUGGACCCUCCAACCAUAGCUAGGCGCUCUCCAGGUAAGUCCUCAGGUUGACUGCUACUUCCAGGCUUGUCCUUUUCUUCCUUUAUCAUGCUGCUGCUGCUGCUUCCACUCAUGCGUGUCGGCCGUUCUCUCUCUCUGUCUCGCUCUCUAUCUUUCUCCUCUUUCUUUAUAGUGUCUUUCUCUUUCUUUUCUUCCUUCUCUUUCUUCUCUUCUUUGUCAUCCUCCUUCACUGUUGCCUCUGGUUCUGCUCCUUGCUCUAUUUUCACAGAGAUGCCUGUUGAAAAUUAGUAAAAGUCAAAAAGAUAUUAUUCACGUUAUCUCAAUGUCUUACUUUACCGUUUUCACUUCCUUUACAGUGCUCAAAAAUACCAUCAAUACUUCUUUCAGACUAAUAAAUAGUACCUAAGCUUGUAUUGUCAAUUAACAAAGCGUUAAUUACCACUGCUGUUGGGUGUUGAGGAGCCAUUAUCAGGAUCCGUCUUAACCGCAGGUUCUCCAGAAAUGGGAGGAAUGGAGGGCGAAGUUGUCUCAUCCUUCACAUCCAUCUCUGUGCUUGACUGGGAUUGGAGGAUGGCAUUGCCCUUUGAAGCUCGGAGCUAGGGCAGGAACAGGCAUAUGUUGUAAGUUUCAGGAUGGCUUGGUGUCCUUUUCUGUUACUUAAUUUCCAAAACAUUAUAUUAGGUGUACACAAUGUCAUGUUGUGCACUACAUAUAUAAAAGCAGUACUCUACAAACUGGAGCUGAUAGUCUUGACAAUCAGUAGAGUUAAUUUGUGAUAAACUGAACUUCUGUCCUACCUGGUUGAGUUCAGACUGGGCCUCUCUCAGUCUCAACUUGUAUUUCACCACCUCUCCCUUCAUCUGUUGAUUGUGUGUUUGCAGAGUGCUAAUUAAAUGACGCAUCUCCCUGUUAAUUGGACCUGAGACAAAGAGGCAGUCACAUGAAUAAAAACAGUACAAUAGUGAGAUGCUAAAAAAUAAAAUGUUGGACUAUGUAUGAAGCUUUACUGUGUUCUUGGCCAAAACCAUAAACAAGAAUAAACAAGAAUUCUUUUGUUA